GACGAACGCUGGCGGCGUGCCUAAUACAUGCAAGUCGAACGCAGUGGGGACGGGUGAGUAACACGUGGGUAACCUCCCAUCAGAGGGGAUAACACUUGGAAACAGGUGCUAAACCUAUACUGAUGGAUGGACCCGCGGUGCAUUAGCUCGUUGGUGAGGUAACGGCUCAACAAGGCCACGAUGCAUAGCCGACCUGAGAGGGGGAUCGGCCACUCUGGGCCUGAGACACGGCCCAGACUCCUACGGGAGGCAGCAGUGGGGAAUCUUCGGCAAUGGACGAAAGCCUGUCCGAGCCACGCCGCGUGAGUGAAGAAGGUUUUCGGAUCGUAAACCUUGUUUGUUAGAGAAGCGGUAUCUAACCAGAAAGCCACGGCUAACUACGUGCCAGCCGCCGCGGUAAUAC
rnacentral:rRNA from 1 species